rnacentral:rRNA from 1 species
GUGGGGAAUAUUGGGCAAUGGGCGAAAGCCUGACCCAGCAACGCCGCGUGAAGGAAGAAGGUCUUCGGAUCGUAAACUUCUAUCCUUGGUGAAGAUAAUGACGGUAGCCGAGAAGGAAGCCCCGGCUAACUACGUGCCAGCAGCCGCGGUAAUACGUAGGGGGCAAGCGUUGUCCGGAAUGAGUGGGCGUAAAGGGCGCGUAGGCGGCCUGGUAAGUCUGGAGUGAAAGUCCUGCUUUUAAGGUGGGAAUUGCUUUGGAUACUGUCGGGCUUGAGUGCAGGAGAGGUAAGUGGAAUUCCCGGUGUAGCGGUGAAAUGCGUAGAGAUCGGGAGGAACACCAGUGGCGAAGGCGACUUACUGGUCCGGUACUGACGCUGAGGUGCGAAAGCGUGGGGAGCAAACAGGAUUAGAUACCCGGGUAGUCC